rnacentral:lncRNA from 1 species
GGGUCACUGAGAAACCCACUUUCAGCCCAUGAAGAGGUCCAGUCCUUUCCCCCCACUUAUCUUCAUCUCUCCUUCCGUCCACCGAACGUGAAAUCUUCAGGUGAGCUCUUCUCCCUCCUUUUCGAUCCCAACCGUUUGCGACCACUGCCUACCCUGCCGUCACCACCGCCAUCUCUGUCACCCAUCUCCGGCAAAUGUGGAGCAAAUUGUCCUAUGUCAACGUCACAACUUGAGUCCGCAUACUCACUUUCGAAGCAGGACACGUUGUCCCGACGUGUCGACUCAGCAGCCCCGCGGGAUGAUGCCGCGCCUUCCUUGAAUCAUGCAUCUUCUCUCUGCUCAUCCCUUUCAUUGCUCGCUCUUGUCUGUUCUUGAGCUUUUUGGCUACUCGAUUGAACCCCUCCCAGAGAAAACGCACGAGAAGCCAUGUCAAAUGCGAAGGACAUCGACGAGGCGUUUCUGGCGCUAGAAGCCGACGAAGUGGCUGGACCGGAUGAAGCAUGGAAUGAAAAGCAAAGAGAGGCGGGGCAGAGAUUCAGCACUGGAGAACUUGAGCUCGACGAUUGCGUUCUCCGUGGCAGUGGUGAGAGAUUCCAUCACUAGGAAAUUGAGAUAAACUUGAGAUUCCGAGAGAGUCCUAGUGCUUCAUUAGUUGUCGUUCGGCCUUAAAUUCGUCGAUCUUUCUCUGGUAUUGUUUAGUUGAGUAACGGGCGAUGUCCUUGUUUCUAUUGGUUUUGUUUCUCUUGUUUGUAAGUUCACAUCCAUACAUGCACCCUAAGUGUUUGAC